rnacentral:rRNA from 1 species
UACGUAGGUCCCGAGCGCUGUCCGGAUUUAUUGGGCGUUAAGCGAGCGCAGGUGGUUUAUUAAGUCUGGUGUAAAAGGCAGUGGCUCAACCAUUGUAUGCAUUGGAAACUGGUAGACUUGAGUGCAGAAGAGGAGAGUGGAACUCCAUGUGUAGCGGUGAAAUGCGUAGAUAUAUGGAAGAACACCAGUGGCGAAAGCGGCUCUCUGGUCUGUAACUGACGCUGAGGUUCGAAAGCGUGGGUAGCAAACAGG